UGCAUAUAUAAAUUGUUUUUCAUUAUGUGCUACCUGUACUUUUAUACAUGUUUAGGUUAUAUACCUUGUACGCUCUGUACGUUCUUUAUCAUAUUGAUCGGACCUGAGACAGGUACUCUUGAUGUGUUGAUACUCUGUAAAUUCCCUAUCCAACUUUUUCCACCCUGUCCUUCCUUCUUCCCCCUCUUGUUCCUUAUGCAAUAGCUCUUUUAAGUAUUAGCAUAAGUUUAUAAAUAUAUUUUUAACAAGAUUGCUACUGAUAGCAAUAAUAUGUUUGUUUCAACAUAUAUAUUUUUUCUACUUUUAUAUGGAUAUUUGUGCUAAGCACGAUUGGGUUGCGGUGGUGUCUCUGGGCCAUGAUUAGACUCUUUUUCAUGGCUGGGCAAUCCGUGUUGCGCAUUCCCCUUCACCAUACAUUGCUUUAUCUACAUACAGUGUGGCCGCACAGGAUAUCGCAGCCUGGCUGCGAUAUCAUCACUCACCACAAGAUGGGGCUUGUCUCCCUCUGAAGUGUUGUGUUUCCCCAUGCGACGCCAGCAAUGGCCUGAUGACGUUAUCUGGAUGGGACAGGGCCUAUUUAAACCUAGGCAUGCAUAGGCACCGAUCGUUACAGCUCUCCUGGGAGAUCUGUGGACAUUCAAACCAGCCGGUAACGUUACUCUGGGUUACUCCCGCUGUUACGCUGUGUUACAUCUCUGAGUGCUAUAUAUAUGCCUCUACAUCCUUGUUUGGCUAAAUGGUUUACUAUAUUGACAUCUUAAAUACUUAUUGACUUUGGGGAGCUAAUCUCAUUUAAGGUGCUCUUUGAAGAAGCGAAACCGGUCAGAGCCGUAGCAUUACAUCAUCGUUCUUCGCAACAUCAAGCCUUUCUUGUCCCUUCUAUACUUCGUUGGAUAGACUUUUUACAACGGAUCCUUGAUCUUUAUCUAAGAUGUGUAUCAUUAUUAUGAUUUACCCUUUUGUAUAUAUCAUUUGAGAAGUUUAUGGGACUUUGAUGUAAUUUAUUGAGCUUGCUGUCUAUAUUCAUACUUCAUAUGGAAC